ACGGGUGAGUAAUGCCUAGGAAUCUGCCUGGUAGUGGGGGACAACGUUUCGAAAGGAACGCUAAUACCGCAUACGUCCUACGGGAGAAAGCAGGGGACCUUCGGGCCUUGCGCUAUCAGAUGAGCCUAGGUCGGAUUAGCUAGUUGGUGAGGUAAUGGCUCACCAAGGCGACGAUCCGUAACUGGUCUGAGAGGAUGAUCAGUCACACUGGAACUGAGACACGGUCCAGACUCCUACGGGAGGCAGCAGUGGGGAAUAUUGGACAAUGGGCGAAAGCCUGAUCCAGCCAUGCCGCGUGUGUGAAGAAGGUCUUCGGAUUGUAAAGCACUUUAAGUUGGGAGGAAGGGUUGUAGAUUAAUACUCUGCAAUUUUGACGUUACCGACAGAAUAAGCACCGGCUAACUCUGUGCCAGCAGCCGCGGUAAUACAGAGGGUGCAAGCGUUAAUCGGAAUUACUGGGCGUAAAGCGCGCGUAGGUGGUUCGUUAAGUUGGAUGUGAAAUCCCCGGGCUCAACCUGGGAACUGCAUCCCAAACUGGCGAGCUAGAGUAUGGUAGAGGGUGGUGGAUUUCCUGUGUAGCGGUG
rnacentral:rRNA from 1 species